CCGAUUUUGACAUGAUCUAGUUCUAUAUGUUUGAGAUCAUCAUAUUUGAUCAUUAGUCUAUCCUGAACUGGUUUCUUUUUUAAUGGUUUUGAUGACUCUCUGGAAGGAAUGAGGGUUCAUUGGUUGGCUUGAAAGGGAUCUUGAUCUUGAACUCUGCAUUACUGCAAAUAUUCAUGAGUUGGCGAAAUCGUCUCCGGGCCGAAAGGGGAUUUUUCGCAGACAGAAGGAACUUUGAAGAAACAGCCAUUCUGAUGCUCACUUCACAUUCCGACUGCGAGCCUGAGCAUGAAUAAGGCAGAGUCAGCCAAGGCGAGGGAGUAAAUGGAAGAAACUGAUUUGUCACUGGAUCUGAAAAAGCAUCAUGAAGACAACGCAGGCGAAUUGCAAAGUGUCAGAAUGAACCGCACAGUGCUCCAGAUUCGAAGAAAGAUGAAUAUGAUGGGUAUAAUGGUUAGUUUGCGAUCUGCGAUUGAAGAUCUUGUGUGAUGGCUGGAACUGCUGAUGAGGAUAGGGCGAUACUCUGAUAAGGCUUCGUGCUGA